rnacentral:rRNA from 1 species
CUGGGUGAGUCGACCCCUAAGGCGAGGCCGAAAGGCGUAGUCGAUGGGAAAAUGGUUAAUAUUCCAUUACUUCUGUGUAAUGCGAUGAGAGGACGGAGAAGGCUAAAUCAGCCUGGCGUUGGUUGUCCAGGUGAAAGGAUGUAGGCAUGUAUCUUAGGCAAAUCCGGGGUACUCUAUGCUGAGAUCUGAUAGCAAGCUGUACUUGUACAGCGAAGUGGUUGAUGCCAUGCUUCCAGGAAAAGUCUCUAAGCUUCAGUUACACAGGAAUCGUACCCGAAACCGACACAGGUGGUCAGGUCGAGUAGACCAAGGCGCUUGAGAGAACUCUGCUGAAGGAACUAGGCAAAAUGGUACCGUAACUUCGGGAGAAGGUACGCUGUUGUUGGUGAUGGAACUCGCUUCCUGAGCUGACGACAGCCGCAGAAACCAGGCCGCUGCAACUGUUUAUUAAAAACAUAGCACUCUGCAAACACGAAAGUGGACGUAUAGGGUGUGAUGCCUGCCCGGUGCUGGAAGGUUAAUUGAUGGGGUUAGCGUAAGCGAAGCUCUUGAUCGAAGCCCCAGUAAACGGCGGCCGUAACUAUAACGGUCCUAAGGUAGCGAAAUUCCUUGUCGGGUAAGUUCCGACCUGCACGAAUGGCAUAAUGAUGGCGGCGCUGUCUCCAGCAGAGGCUCAGUGAAAUCGAAAUCGCUGUGAAGAUGCAGUGUACCCGCGGCUAGACGGAAAGACCCCGUGAACCUUUACUGCAGCUUGACACUGAACUUUGACCUUACUUGUGUAGGAUAGGUGGGAGGCUUUGAAGCUGGAACGCUAGUUCCAGUGGAGCCGUCCUUGAAAUACCACCCUGGUAAUGUUGAGGUUCUAACUCUGUCCCGUGAUCCGGGACGAGGACCGUGUCUGGUGGGUAGUUUGACUGGGGCGGUCUCCUCCUAAAGAGUAACGGAGGAGUACGAAGGUGCGCUCAGCGUGGUCGGAAAUCACGCGUAGAGUAUAAAGGCAAAAGCGCGCUUAACUGCGAGACCCACAAGUCGAGCAGGUACGAAAGUAGGUCUUAGUGAUCCGGUGGUUCUGUAUGGAAGGGCCAUCGCUCAACGGAUAAAAGGUACUCUGGGGAUAACAGGCUGAUACCGCCCAAGAGUUCAUAUCGACGGCGGUGUUUGGCACCUCGAUGUCGGCUCAUCUCAUCCUGGGGCUGAAGCAGGUCCCAAGGGUAUGGCUGUUCGCCAUUUAAAGAGGUACGCGAGCUGGGUUUAGAACGUCGUGAGACAGUUCGGUCCCUAUCUACCGUGGGCGCUGGAAAUUUGAGAGGAUCUGCUCCUAGUACGAGAGGACCAGAGUGGACGAACCUCUGGUGUACCGGUUGUGACGCCAGUCGCAUCGCCGGGUAGCUAUGUUCGGAAGGGAUAACCGCUGAAAGCAUCUAAGCGGGAAGCCUACCUCAAGAUAAGAUUUCCCUAGGACUUUAUGUCCUCUAAAGAGCCGUUCGAGACUAGGACGUUGAUAGGUUGGAUGUGGAAGCAUAGUGAUAUGUGAAGCUGACCAAUACUAAUUGCUCGUGAGGCUUGACUAU